UUAGCUUAUAUUUGUAUGGAAUGGGAUCGUUUUCCUAAGUUUGCCGUUAGGGGCGCUGUUCCAACUGCAUACAAAAUUGGGAUA
rnacentral:pre_miRNA from 1 species